ACGGCAGGACAAGCGGAAUGAAGCCUGAAAUGCACACCCUGUUUUUACAGAUUUUCCUAUGCGGUGCGACUGCCCUGACGCUGGAUCCGGGCCCAUGCUUCCUUGUCCCAAGCAUCGAAGUCCAUCAACUACGCCUACCUGCGUGGCCCGCCGCUGCCUGGGGUGGCUCAACGCAUGCGCAUGGACGAGGAUCCACAGCAGUGACAACGGAGCGCGCAGCCCUUAUAAGCUCAGUCAGCGACGAACUCACCCGUGGGCACGGCAGGACAAGCGGAAUGAAGCCUGAAAUGCACACCCUGUUUUUACAGAUUUUCCUAUGCGGUGCGACUGCCCUGACGCUGGAUCCGGGCCCAUGCUUCCUUGUCCCAAGCAUCGAAGUCCAUCAACUACGCCUACCUGCGUGGCCCGCCGCUGCCUGGGGUGGCUCAACGCAUGCGCAUGGACGAGGAUCCACAGCAGUGACAACGGAGCGCGCAGCCCUUAUAAGCUCAGUCAGCGACGAACUCACCCGUGGGCACGGCAGGACAAGCGGAAUGAAGCCUGAAAUGCACACCCUGUUUUUACAGAUUUUCCUAUGCGGUGCGACUGCCCUGACGCUGGAUCCGGGCCCAUGCUUCCUUGUCCCAAGCAUCGAAGUCCAUCAACUACGCCUACCUGCGUGGCCCGCCGCUGCCUGGGGUGGCUCAACGCAUGCGCAUGGACGAGGAUCCACAGCAGUGACAACGGAGCGCGCAGCCCUUAUAAGCUCAGUCAGCGACGAACUCACCCGUGGGCACGGCAGGACAAGCGGAAUGAAGCCUGAAAUGCACACCCUGUUUUUACAGAUUUUCCUAUGCGGUGCGACUGCCCUGACGCUGGAUCCGGGCCCAUGCUUCCUUGUCCCAAGCAUCGAAGUCCAUCAACUACGCCUACCUGCGUGGCCCGCCGCUGCCUGGGGUGGCUCAACGCAUGCGCAUGGACGAGGAUCCACAGCAGUGACAACGGAGCGCGCAGCCCUUAUAAGCUCAGUCAGCGACGAACUCACCCGUGGGCACGGCAGGACAAGCGGAAUGAAGCCUGAAAUGCACACCCUGUUUUUACAGGUGGGUGCGCUCGGCGGUAGCACUUCUCAACGGACCAAUGAAUGCAGGCUAUCAAGAAAAGCCAUUGCAUCCCACAGGAACUACCAAGGGACGAACACCAUGGACUCUUCGUGGAUGAAAGAACACUAGCACCACAGCAAAGAUGUUUGCCGUGGGUAAAAAAGAAGCAAUAUGCCUGUUGCGGUAUUGUUUGUGACUUGAUAUUAAAGCAGUCCCGCGUACGAAAACAGUUAAUCAAAAGCGCCUUUAAAGAUCGUAUUGUGACGUAGUUUUCGUGGGCUGAAGUAAAGUUGUUUUUUAUAGUAUCAGGAGGCUGUCUGUAGCCUUUUGAAAUAAUAAAAUUAUUUUCAUUGUA